GCAUAUCACUUUUAUUUUAGUAGCCUAUAUUACUUGCUUUUAAUAACAAAAGUCAAGCUGAUUUAAUGUGGUUAUCUUUUUUUUAAGGUAAGUACAAUAAAAAUAGCAACUUAUUCCCUAUUUACCAGGAAACUCCUACAUUUGCGGACAUAUUUGAAGUGGUGCUUUGCAAUUUAUUUACUGUAAAGUAUUUUAGCCAAAUAUAAUUUAUGCAAUGGCAAACCAGAAUGAAACAACAGCAGAUAUCAGCUCCCGCUAAAGCAAAAGACGACUACAUGCGUAGACUACUGCGCAGGUGUAGAACGCGCGGCCGUCUGCAGGAGGUUUGCUGGAACGCGAUCCUGAGGUGAAAUUUCUUUAAGAGGUUUUAAAAACGUUCUACACUGUGGAGUACAGCUGCGAGUGAUGUUAGCAGGUUCCGCAUGCUGGAUAAGAACAGCAUUUGUGAGACGACAUCAACUCAUCAUCCGAGUGGACAAGAACACCAACAGAGGAAGCCAAGCCGCAAAAACAAUGAAAAAUUGUCAUGACUUUUUAUUUUAAAUAAAAGUUAUGUGAUAAUAAACA